rnacentral:rRNA from 1 species
GACGAACGCUGGCGGCGUGCUUAACACAUGCAAGUCGAACGCUGAAGCUCAGCUUUUGUUGGGUGGAUGAGUGGCGAACGGGUGAGUAACACGUGAGUAACCUGCCCCCUUCUUUGGGAUAACGCCCGGAAACGGGUGCUAAUACUGGAUAUUCACUGGUCUUCGCAUGGGGGUUGGUGGAAAGGGUUUUUCUGGUGGGGGAUGGGCUCGCGGCCUAUCAGCUUGUUGGUGGGGUGAUGGCCUACCAAGGCUUUGACGGGUAGCCGGCCUGAGAGGGUGACCGGUCACAUUGGGACGGAGAUACGGCCCAGACUCCUACGGGAGGCAGCAGUGGGGAAUAUUGCACAAUGGGCGCAAGCCUGAUGCAGCGAGGCCGCGUGAGGGAUGGAGGCCUCCGGGUUGUGAACCUCUUUCGCUAAUGGUCAAGCCGCAACAAUGGUUGUGGUGAGGGUAGUGGGUAAAGAAGCGACGGCUAACUACGUG